GAUGAACGCUGGCGGCGUGCCUAAUACAUGCAAGUCGAGCGAACAGACGAGGAGCUUGCUCCUCUGACGUUAGCGGCGGACGGGUGAGUAACACGUGGAUAACCUACCUAUAAGACUGGGAUAACUUCGGGAAACCGGAGCUAAUACCGGAUAAUAUAUUGAACCGCAUGGUUCAAUAGUGAAAGACGGUUUUGCUGUCACUUAUAGAUGGAUCCGCGCCUCAUUAGCUAGUUCGUAAGGUAACCGCUUACCAAGGCAACGAUGCCUAGCCGACCUGAGAUGGUGAUCGGCCACCCUGGAACUGACACACGGUCCAGACUCCUACGGGAGGCAGCAGUCGGGAAUCUUCCGCAGUGGGCGAAAGCCUGACGGAGCAACGCCGCGUGAGUCAUGAAGGUCUUCGGAUCGUAAAACUCUGUUAUUAGGGAAGAACAAAUGUGUAAGUAACUAUGCACGUCUUGACGGUACCUAAUCAGAAAGCCACGGCUAACUACGUG
rnacentral:rRNA from 1 species